rnacentral:rRNA from 1 species
GACGAACGCUGGCGGCGUGCCUAAUACAUGCAAGUCGAACGAGAGCACCCGGUGCUUGCCCUGGUCAAUCUAGUGGCGAACGGGUGAGUAACACGUGGGUAACCUGCCCAUCAGAGGGGGAUAACAUCCGGAAACGGAUGCUAAAACCGCAUAGGUCUUCGAACCGCAUGGUUUGAAGAGGAAAAGAGGCGCAAGCUUCUGCUGAUGGAUGGACCCGCGGUGCAUUAGCUAGUUGGUGAGGUAACGGCUCACCAAGGCCGUGAUGCAUAGCCGACCUGAGAGGGUGAUCGGCCACAUUGGGACUGAGACACGGCCCAAACUCCUACGGGAGGCAGCAGUAGGGAAUCUUCCGCAAUGGACGCAAGUCUGACGGAGCAACGCCGCGUGAGUGAAGAAGGUUUUCGGAUCGUAAAACUCUGUUGUUAGAGAAGAACAAGUGCUAGAGUAACUGUUAGCGCCUUGACGGUAUCUAACCAGAAAGCCACGGCUAACUACGUG